UGGGAACCUUCCCUAUGGUUCGGAAUAGCUCAGGGAAACUUGGGGUAAUACCGGAUAAGCCCUUCGGGGAAAGAUUUAUCGCCAUUGGAUGGGCCCGCGUCGGAUUAGCUAGUUGGUGAGGUAACGGCUCACCAAGGCAACGAUCCGUAGCUGGUCUGAGAGGAUGAUCAGCCACACUGGGACUGAGACACAGCCCAGACUCCUACGGGAGGCAG
rnacentral:rRNA from 1 species